rnacentral:rRNA from 1 species
GAUGAACGCUGGCGGCGUGCCUAAUACAUGCAAGUCGAGCGAACAGACGAGGAGCUUGCUCCUCUGACGUUAGCGGCGGACGGGUGAGUAACACGUGGAUAACCUACCUAUAAGACUGGGAUAACUUCGGGAAACCGGAGCUAAUACCGGAUAAUAUAUUGAACCGCAUGGUUCAAUAGUGAAAGACGGUUUUGCUGUCACUUAUAGAUGGAUCCGCGCCGCAUUAGCUAGUUGGUAAGGUAACGGCUUACCAAGGCAACGAUGCGUAGCCGACCUGAGAGGGUGAUCGGCCACACUGGAACGGAGACCCGGUCCAGACCCCUACGGGAGGCAGCAGUGGGGAAUUUUCCGAAAGGGGCGAAACCCUGACGGGGCAACGCCGCGUGAGUAAUGAAGUUUUUCGGAUUGUAAACCCCUUUUAUUGGGGAAGAAAAAAUGUGUAAGUAAAUAUGCACGUUUUGACGGUACCUAAGAAGAAAGCCACGGCUAACUACGU